rnacentral:snoRNA from 1 species
GUGAAAUGAUGAUGAAGUUUAUCCAUUCGCUGAAUGUGCUGCCCUGCUCUUCCCGCAGCUCUCAGCUCCUGUUCUGGGAACUCUGACUUGUGUAAGCUCCAGAUGCCCUCCAGGCUGGCAGCGUUCUGCUGUAUAUUUGGCAGGUGUGUGUGGUGGUCUUACUAGUAGGAAGAGAUGGUGGCAGCAGGGGUGGAACCCAAUCAGUUUAGGGUCCCACCCAAGAUGAAUGACUGAUGUCUGAUCAC